CUCCAAAUCAAACAGUCUGUAAUCCCUAAAUAACACAGCUACUCCCACAUCUCAUGCCUUUACACACGUACUGCCUUUGUUCAGGACGCCCUCUCCCCUUUUCUGCCUGACAGAUUUAUUCUCAUCCCUCAUUCCAUGCAUGAUGGGUCUCAAUAAAGAACCAAUUCCUCUGUAAAGCCUGCCCUGGCCUCCCCUGCUCCUUCCAGGGAGGGCUUAAUGGCUGCCCCGUCCCUGCUCCACAGCAUGGUGUACACAGCAUGCUUACUCUAUUGUUCUGUUAGCUGUUUGUUUCUGUCUCCAUCACAUUGGUCCUCUAGAUGUAUAGAAUGAAUGUUCACAUUUCCUUUCCUUCCAUUCAUAUUCUGCCCCUCCAUCUGACUUCUGUCCUCUCAUUCCACUACAAAUCACAAAAUCCAGUGAUAUUCUUCAAUGCUUUUUUCUGGACCCCUCCCUUAGCAGUGUUUGACAAAGUUAACCACUCCUUCCUUGUUUAUAUGUUAUCUUUCUCUUGGCUCCCAUGACAAAACACUGUCCUGGCUUUCUUCCUAUCUCUGGCUGUGUCUUCCAUCUCCUCUGAUGGGCCACCUUCUUUUACCUGGUCCACUGGAUGCUGGGUUUCUCAAGGCUUGAUCUUGAGGCCUUUCCUCUUUUUACUCCAAACUCUCAGCUUGCAUGAUCUGCACCCAAGGCUUAAAUAUCACCUACACCUUAAGACUCACAAUGUUUUUCUCUCUUUCAGACCUCUUCAACCAGCUGCUUACCUAUUAUCUCCCCUUUGAUGUCUCAAAGGUACCUCAAAUUCAACAUGACCAAAAACAGACUCCUAUUUUCCUUCCUAAAUCAUAUUCUCCCUAUGCCAAUGACAGGCGUCUCAGUGAAUGCUAUGAUCAUCCCUCAGAAUAGGAGAGAACACUAACAAUCAUCUUGGCCAUUCCUUUCCUCCCCGCUCUUCCAUUUAGCUAACAUGUCACCAUAGUUGAUUUUAAAUACUAA
rnacentral:lncRNA from 1 species